CACCCGCCCACACGGUUUGCCGUGUUUUCACCCUUCUUUGUUCUCCACCGGUCUGGGCAGGGUCUGAGGACUCCGGAGAGCAAGGCAUGGGUCCGCCUCGUGCCGCAGGUUCCUGGCCCACGCCAGCCGUACCCAGUAGCACAAUGGUAAGCGCAUGCUGGCGAGAGGGAUUUGAGGACACACGCCAGCUGCCUACACCUGAAGAAAGGGUGAGCUCUGAGGACUUCACAGGGGCCCCAUCCCCUCACCUAGAUGAGGGCUAACCUUGGAAUCCAGACAAAGGUGGAAGUGACCUAGAUGUGACCUGAAUGAGCUAAUCAUCUAAUGAGAGCCAGCCCUUUGUCCUGCCCACAUGAAGGGCUUUGCUGCUACGCACUGACAAGUUGGACGGCUUUUUAUUGCUUUGUUGCCAGUUAUCUGAACAUGAGAGGCUGUAAGGUGUAAUCUGCGAGCCCUGCGCCCAGACUGAACCAGGGCCUCCCUUGAACAUGAGUAUUAGACAAAUGAAAUAAGAACUUAUCUUGCCCAGACUAUAUAAUGGCUUGGAAAUGCAUAGUUUCCUGAACGAUCUCAAUAAAAUACUUUUAAAAGUACUUAAAUAGACUUUUUCUGUGUCACUUUGUGGGGAGGUGUGAGAAGAUAUAGGAGCUAGUCAUUUCAUGUGUCUGGUUCCUGGUCCCUUAACAGCAUCUGUUCUGGAAGUACAGAUGAAAAUUCUAUACAGACCUGUAAGGCUGACCAUAGUUUUAGCAGAUUAGCAU
rnacentral:lncRNA from 1 species